rnacentral:lncRNA from 1 species
GUCAGAUGAGCUAAAAAUAUAUCUAGGAAUCUAAGAAAUCCAUAAAUGUAGCCUACAUUGAAUCAACGGUAGCCACUUAGGCCAAGGUCCAGGCCGUGGUCCCGUGUAUUCUACAGAUAGUGAUGUUAUUCUUUCUUCUAGUAGCCGGUGAGCCCGUUCCACUGCCCCUUGUGACUGGGGGUGUCGGGGUCUGCUGUGGAUUAGGUUGCAGCUACCAGGCCACUCAUCGAGAAUUUUCUGGAGUCCGGAGAAUUCUUUUCCGUUGUCGGUCUGUAGGAUCGACGGAAGUCCAGUGACGGCGAAAACUUCUCUUACAGCAGUGUUGACUUCUUGAACGGUUUUGUGCAUCAGCGGGAAAAUGAAAUUAAAUUUUGAAGCGUGAUCUAUGAGGUGACCGAUCCAGUUGUAGCCAUCGACCUCUUGCUUUUGCAUGUCUAUUAAAUCGAGCUGUAAAAAAAAAACAUACAGGUGUGCAUGGAAAUUAGGAAUACUAUACAAAUAAUGCACAUCAGUGAGGGCGUUAGUAAGAAUAAUCAACACGAGGUAACUGUGGAACAGUGUGUUUUGAACUGUUUCAAAGUUACCGAGUGUUGAUGAUUCUUACUAGCAUGCCCAAACAAAAUGAUGUACAUUAUUUGUUUUAUAAAAUGGACGUGAAUCCUUGUCAUUUGAUAAUACACUCUUUAUUAUAUAUCAUUUAUAAUACACUCUCUUUAUUGAUUUUUUGUUUUCGCACGCGUAUUAAAAGAACGCCCAGAGACAAACAAUUGUUCAAUUGUCUCUGCAACGGCAGUUAUGCCUCCACUAAUUAUGGCGGGAUCGUUCAUCAACCUAUGAGGCGUCAUCAAGCGUCCAAUAAAAAUAGUAAAAAAGUACUAUUGACAUGUCAUUAGUAAAAAAUAAUGACUCGUCGUUAGCACAAAUCUGUUAGACAAAAUAAAUGCCUGGUCACGUGUCCACUCCCAGCCAAUCAUUUGAUUAGGAUUCACAUAACCAUUUCAUAAUGCAAUAUAAAUGUAAAUGCUUCUUAAAAUGUAACAGACAGUUAUUAUAUAUCAAGUAAGCAUCUGACUCAAUUAAUGAGUAACUAUAUAAAUCCAUGUUUAUUUAAACUUAAACAAGUUUCUAACGCAGGAAGACAUACCUGAAAUCUACUGAAUACACCUUGGCUUACGAUGACCACUGGCUCUGCAGUGUUUCUUUGGGAUCCUCUCAACUGGCAUGUCAAACAGGUUUGAACAAAUUUGGUAACUGCACUGUAGGGCACCCCACAAUACUGUUGCUUCACCUGGAACACAGUUGUAACAAGUUUUACUUUACAUAAGUUUUCAGACACGACAAAAAAUUGCUCAAAACGUUAUACAUGGAUGGUGUUUUUAACAACAAGGUAAUACUGCCGUGCUUUUUCCAUUCGUAAUUGGAUAUACCCUAAGCUAUAUAAUUGUAAACAUUUGCUCCUGAAUCCUAUAGCUAAACUUUCAUGUGUGAUUUUGAUAAUCAACUUUAAAUCGCGGAGACCAGAAGUGUCGUACGUAGCCAGGGAAUAAAAUUGAACGUUUGCCUACGCAAUAUUUAGAAAAUAAAGUGAUAAUUUGAA